rnacentral:rRNA from 1 species
CUUAUCUUAUUAAUAAGAGUGACGGGCGAUGUGUGCAUAUUUUAGAGCUAAAAUCAAAUUUAUAAUCUUUUAAAUAUUACUAUCAAAUCCACCUUCAUUAAAAUAUUUAAAAUUAAAUUCAUUUAAAUAAUUUUAUUGUAACUCAUCUCUACUUAAAUAUAAGCUACACCUUGAUCUGAUAUAAAUUUUAAUUUAAAUUAUUGAAAAUUAUUAUUCUAAUAAAAUAUUCUAAUAACGACGGUAUAUAAACUGAAAACAAUUCUAAGUAAGGUACAUCGGGGACUAUCGAUUACAGGACAAGUUCCUCUGAAUAGACUAAAAUACCGCCAAAUUUUUUAAGUUUCAAGAACAUAACUAAUACUACCUAAGCGCUUUAAUUACAUUUUAAAUAAUA